AUCAAGGGCUCGGGCUGAGAUGUUGGUAGGGAGGGAGGUGGCAGCUUCCAGCAUCAUUGAGGUGGCAGCUUCCGGCAUCAUUGAGGUGGCGAACUCAGCUACAAGGCCAAGAAUAGGGACCUCAUUGGAUGGAACAAGGAAGACGAGGAGGGGAAGAAGAGACGUGGAGGAACAAGGGCGAUGAGGGAAGGCAGUGGCCUUCCCCGGGAGGUGGUUUAGAGAAAGGUGGCGGCCUCCCUAGUAGCUACUGGGGAAAGAUCAAUAUAGGAGGGCAGUGGCCUCCCUUGCUGAUGGCAACGAAUCUCUAAGAGGGCAUGCAGCAAUCCCUGGCAGGCAUUGCAAAAUGGGGCGGCAGGGUUGCCC
rnacentral:lncRNA from 1 species